UCCACUCUCUUCCUUGAUCCUUACCAUCGUGUCACGGCAGCGCAUCCAUUUGCCUCGCUUUAGUUUUAUCAGGACUUGUUUAGUUCUAUUUUUUUUUGCAAAAUCUUUCAGAUUUUUUGUCAUAUCGAAUUUUUGAACGCAUGCAUGGAACAUUAAUUAUAUAAAAAAUAAAAACUGAUUACACAGUUCAUCUGUAAUUUGCGAGACGGAUUUUUUGAGCCCAGUUAGCCCAUGAUUAUACAAUAUUUGUUAAAUACAAACGAAAGUGCUACAAUGUCCAUUUUGCAAAAAAAAAUAAAACUAAACAAGUACUAGCACCACCCGACACCCGUAGUAGGAUUGGCAGUGAUGAUCUAAUUUUUUUAUUUUAAUACUGUAGCAUUUUCAUUUUUAUUUAACAAAUAUUAUCCGAUCAUGGAGUAACUAGGUUUAAAAGAUUUGUUUCGCAAUUUACAGGCAAACUGUGCAAUUAGUUUUUGUUUUCAUCUAUAUUUAAUGCUCCAUGCAUGUCUCGCAAGAUUCAAUGCGAUGGAAAAUCUUAAAUUUUUUUUAUUUUUGGGGUGAACUAAACAAGGCCUUAUAACCGAUAUAAUAUAAGGCCCCGUUUGGUUGAAGAUGAUUUUUUAUCACCUAUCACAUUAAGGCCUUGUUUAGAUGUGAAAUUUUUUUGAUUUCGGUACUGUAGCAUUUUUGUUUGUUCGUAGUAAAUAUUGUCUAAUCAUAGACUAACUAGGGUCAAAAGAUUCGUCACGUGAUUUACAGGCAAACUGUGUAAUUAAUUUGUAUUUUCGUCUAUAUGUAAUGCUUCAUGCAUGUGCCACAAGAUUCGAUGUGACGGGGAAUCUUGAAAACUUUUUGGUUUUGUGGUGA
rnacentral:lncRNA from 1 species